rnacentral:rRNA from 1 species
UACGUAGGGACCGAGCGUUGUCCGGAUUCAUUGGGCGUAAAGAGCUCGUAGGCGGCUGCUCAAGUCGAAUGUGAAAACUCGAGGCUCAACCUCGAGCCUGCAUUCGAUACUGGGCGGCUAGAGUGCGGGAGAGGCGAGUGGAAUUCCUGGUGUAGCGGUGAAAUGCGCAGAUAUCAGGAGGAACACCAAUUGCGAAGGCAGCUCGCUGGAACGUUACUGACGCUGAGACGCGAAAGCGUGGGGAGCAAACAGG